UAACCCGGAGAAGGGAGGACUGAGAGAAUUCCACUCAAUGACCCUUGCUUCUGGGAUGAGCCUCGCGGAGCGCACCCUUAUCCGCGCGGAGUGCUGUGCCUUUAAGGUCCACUGGGGGCGUGAUGUCAGCCGCCCUCCGGCACUUGGAGAGGUGAGCGCGGCAGCGGGCUCAGCCGGUGUCUCAGGGACUGGGUUUGGAGUAGGACCUGCGGUGCGCUCCGAGACUCCGACUUUCGUUUUGAGGCGCGCUCGCGCCCACGGGCCAUGCCUCACUGACGCUAAGUGGGCACUGUCCCGGCUCCGGGAGAGCGAGACGCCGCGCGCCACCGGCCAUGGGCAGCUUCCAGCUGGAAGACUUUGCGGCGGGCUGGAUCGGUGGUGCAGCCAGCGUCAUCGUCGGCCACCCUCUGGACACAGUCAAGACUCGCCUGCAGGCUGGCGUCGGCUACGGGAAUACCCUCAGCUGCAUCCGCACAGUGUACAGGAGGGAGAGCGUGUUCGGCUUCUUUAAGGGCAUGUCCUUCCCGCUUGCCAGCAUUGCUGUCUACAACUCUGUGGUAUUUGGGGUCUUCAGUAACACGCAGCGGUUCCUCAGCCAGCACCGCUGCCGGGAGCCCGAGGCCAGUCCUCCCCGCACACUGUCGGACCUGCUUCUGGCCAGCAUGGUGGCCGGCGUGGUCUCUGUCGGGCUGGGCGGGCCCGUGGACCUCAUCAAGAUCCGGCUGCAGAUGCAGACACAACCAUUUCGUGACGCCAACCUCAGUUUGAAGUCCAGGGCGGCGGCUCUUGGGGAGCAGCUAGUGUACCAGGGGCCCGUGCACUGCAUUGCAACCAUCGUGAGGAAUGAGGGCCUGGCGGGGCUGUACCGGGGGGCCAGUGCCAUGCUGCUGAGGGACGUCCCGGGCUAUUGCCUCUACUUCAUCCCCUACGUGUUCCUGAGUGAGUGGAUCACACCCGAGGCUUGUGCAGGCCCCAGCCCCUGUGCCGUGUGGCUGGCAGGUGGUGUAGCAGGAGCAAUUUCUUGGGGGACAGCGACUCCUAUGGAUGUUGUGAAAAGUCGACUUCAAGCUGAUGGGGUUUAUUUAAACAAAUAUAAAGGUGUCCUGGACUGUAUCUCCCAGAGUUACCAGAAGGAAGGUCUUAAAGUGUUUUUCAGAGGCAUCACUGUGAACGCGGUGCGGGGCUUCCCCAUGAGCGCGGCCAUGUUCCUUGGGUACGAGCUGUCACUGCAGGCUAUCCGCGGGGACCACACCGUGACGAGCCCAUGAGCGCCAGGUCUUUGCUCAGGCUGGUCCCUCUGCCUGACAUCCUCUUCUCGCUCCUUCCCCGCUUGUUCUUGGCUUCACCAGCUCUUUGUCACCCAGGCUGUAGAAGUCUCCUCCUCCAGGAUGCCGGCUUGCUUUCUCAGCUGGGGGCUUCAUUCCAUUAACAGGUCAAUGCAAAAGUGUCUGCAGAACCCAUGGUGUGAUUUACGGAAGAGAAAGAUGGACUUCCCACCAGGUGGGCUUUCAGCCAAGCACGCUGUCCUCAGAACCCCUUCUUCCUUCCUUCACAAGCACUCUGAUCCUCACCCUGGCUGGGGCAGUGGAGCUCUAGCCUUGGAGGGAUGCAACUGACCAUUGGUCAACUGAUCAACUAUUUUGGUUUUGGAUUUGCACCGGGUAACAACAGACCAGAACAAAACAAAACUAGAUUAAAUUGGCUCUGCCCCCAUGGCUGUUGUAAACUCACUGGGAAUUCACGGAAGAGCUGGAGUUGGCUCUAAGUUUCCAAAUAAAAGCAUUAAAAACCUCUU